UGUAAGUCUGGGACUCCAAACAGCUUCUGAAACUUCAAGCAUAUAUGAGAGUCAGAAAUAAAUACUUUGAUCAUUGAUCUUAGCGUUUUUCCAACAAGAAUUAAAACUUCUAAAGAAAUACAUAUGUCAAAGACUUGAAUGCAGGUUAGCCUCUGAAACUGUAUCUUCGUCUAGGAACAGAAAUCUCUAAGAGGGUACCCAUUCUUAUUUACUAUUCAUAGAUAGCUGUAUUUAUAGCUAUUUGUUAUUAUGCAGUUUCAGUUCUCACUGUUAAGCUGAUUGUCCAGAAUCUUCCCUGACUUCUUUUCACAAUCAAGAAAUUCAAACAUUGAGCAUACUCACAGGAUACCUUCGAAGUUUAAGCAUCUCAAAUCCUACUUUUUCAAUUUCAGGCUUCUCUUGUGUUAAAAACAAACAAACUUUUAUGUAGUUUUCAUGCAUUGUCUAUCAGAAACCUUAAAGAGAGAGCUUUAUUUACUUCAAAGUUACACCUCCAUCCACAUUAUCUGUGCUUCAGUCAUUGCUUUCCAUAGCAUAGUAACCACUGAGAGGAACUGAACAAACACAACAGGCAGCACUUAACCAAGUAUCCUUACUUUUCAGUCUUCAGAAUUCCUUGUAUUUUGACAAAAAAAAAAAAAAAAAAAAAAAAGAGAGAGAGAGAGAGAGAGAGAGAGAGAGAUCUGAAAUAAUUCCAGCCCAUUUUCCCAGGUCAGGUAGCUCACUGUCUGGCCACAAAUUGCUCCAAAUCCCAAACACACUGAAUCUUAAUGUUAGCUGCUUUUGCAUGUGUAUUGUUUUUUUUUUUUUUUUUUCUUUAAUUAGUUUUAUACUUGAUCAUAGGUCUUGUCACAAUUUCAAAGAGUAUUUUACUAUGUACUUCGUCAAAUGUAGACUGGAUAGUAGUUUUUGCCUAAAUAAAGUUGCUAACUUCACUGUAUUCACUGUAAUUACUCCCCAGAAAGCUACUUAAUAUUUUUCUCUUUCCGCUGUUGCUGCUGGAUCACAUUAUCUUAUUUUUAUACACUCGUAAGUAUUAGCAACAUAGUGGAUGAAGAUCUUCUGAACACUGAAGGAAAUAAGUCAUGUCUCUGCCUGUUCAUCAGUUUAUUCUUUUUUUAAAUGUUAUGGAAUUUAGCCAUUAUUCUCUGGUUACAGAUUUAAAGCCACAUAGAUUUAAUUACAGUGUGUAUAAUCUGGGUGGAUAUCGAUGUACAUAAGAAGAUUAUAACUUCUUUGUUCAACAUUAAUUGAAUAGAUUUUAUUCUACAUUUCUUCUUUUUGUCCUAAGAUAGUUGUUUUUUUUUUGUUUUUGUUUUUGUUUGGUUUUUUUUUUGACAUCCAGUAAAAUCUGCUUUUACUUUAUUUGUACACGUUAUAUAGUAGUCUCUUGACAAGAUUGGUAAAUGAAAGUUGCUACUUGCUAAAGUUAUCAUCCUUUCUUCUCUGUACUAGUGAACCUUAUACAGAAGAAAAAGCAAGAGAACUCCUUCAAAUUGUCUUUUCUCUUGAUAUGUAUCUUGCACUGCUGGGAAAACCUACAGGUUUUCCAGGUUUUUUUUUCAUUUAAUAUAGAUCUUGCCUUUUCAGUUUGGAACAAGAGUAAAUAUAAGAGUUUAUACAAAAAGGUGUUAUAAUAAUGGCAGUAGUAUCCAUACAAUGAAAUAAGUUAUUUUUAAUUGAAACUUGUAAUAAUGUUUUUCUCCUUAACUUUUCAAUUUCUGCAACAAUUUUUUGGAAAUAAUUGUUUUGUUUCAAAGCCUGCAGUACCAUGAGAAUCUUCAUCAUUAAAAAAUAGGAGUAAGACCAGCUUCAUUUAACUUGACUAAAGUUAUCAUACAGCUAUGGGAAUCACACUGAUGGAGUCCAGUGCCUCUUGCAACAACAAGAAGUAAAUAUCAUCAGCUCAUCCACCCUACACAACUAGUCUCUGCCCUUCUCUCCCAAGCUGGAAGAAUAGUCUUCUGUCAUCUGAGUAAUAGUAUCUCUACUUCACUGAAAUACUCAGACAAAACAAGAUUUGUAAUAUUUCACCAAGGGAGAAUAUAUUAAGCUACCUAUUAGGAAAAACAAUCUUCAACUUUUUAAAAAUUUAGAUCGAAACAAUAUUAACCUCUCAAAUGGCUAGAAAAACUUACGUAAAAACAGCACAUGCACUACUGGAUCAUACUCUAUUUUGUGCAAGCUCAUCCCUCUACCACUUCAUGAAUGCUGUCAUUCCACAAACUUUCAACAAUAUUAUUAUGCUACAGUAGAAAAAAACAUCAACAGAAAAUAAUGUACACAAACAUGAAUUAGGUAUGUGGAGUAUGUAAACUGUUCAUUCUGGCUAUAAACUGUAUAAAUGGUGUGCAGAUUUAUUUUCUUCUUCCCGUACCUCUAAGGUGCUUCCUGUACUCUGGGCCUGUUUUCCA
ensembl:lncRNA